UCGGUGGGGUAACGGCUCACCGGGGAUACGAUGUCUAGGGGUUCUGAGAGGAAGGCCCCCCGCAUUGGGACUGGGACACGGCCCAAAUUCUUACGGGAGGCAGCAGUGAGGGAAUAUUGCUCAAUGGAAGGAAGUCUGAACCAGCCAUGCCGCGUGAAGGAAGACUGCCCUAUGGGUUGUAAACUUCUUUUGCAGCAGAGCAAUAAGGCGUACGCGUACGCCGAUGAGAGUAUGUUGCGAAUAAGCAUCGGCUAACUCCGUGCCAGCAGCCGCGGUAAUACGGAGGAUGCGAGCGUUAUCCGGAUUUAUUGGGUUUAAAGGGUGUGUAGGCUGUUUUGUAAGUCAGCGGAAAAAGACGGGGGCCCCCCUCAAGAAGUACCGUUGAUAGUGCAUUGCUAGAGUUCCCCUGCCGUGGGAGGAAUGAGUGGUGUAGCGGUGAAAUGCAUAGAUAUCACUCAGAACACCGAUUGCGAAGGCAUCUCACGAAGAGGCAACUGACGAGGAGGCAAGAAAGGGUGGGGAUCAAACAGGAUUAGAUACCCUGGUAGUCCACGCAGUAAACGAUGAUGACUAGCGCGGGCGAUAC
rnacentral:rRNA from 1 species